CCCAGAAGCGGGGGAUAACACCUGGAAACAGAUGCUAAUACCGCAUAACAACUUGGACCGCAUGGUCCGAGUUUGAAAGAUGGCUUCGGCUAUCACUUUUGGAUGGUCCCGCGGCGUAUUAGCUAGAUGGUGAGGUAACGGCUCACCAUGGCAAUGAUACGUAGCCGACCUGAGAGGGUAAUCGGCCACAUUGGGACUGAGACACGGCCCAAACUCCUACGGGAGGCAGCAGUAGGGAAUCUUCCACAAUGGACGAAAGUCUGAUGGAGCAACGCCGCGUGAGUGAAGAAGGGUUUCGGCUCGUAAAAAUUCUGUUGUUAAAGAAGAACAUAUCUGAGAGUAACUGUUCAGGUAUUGACGGUAUUUAACCAGAAAGCCACGGCUAACUACGUGCCAGCAGCCGCGGUAAUACGUAGGUGGCAAGCGUUGUCCGGAUUUAUUGGGCGUAAAGCGAGCGCAGGCGGUUUUUUAAGUCUGAUGUGAAAGCCUUCGGCUCAACCGAAGAAGUGCAUCGGAAACUGGGAAACUUGAGUGCAGAAGAGGACAGUGGAACUCCAUGUGUAGCGGUGAAAUGCGUAGAUAUAUGGAAGAACACCAGUGGCGAAGGCGGCUGUCUGGUCUGUAACUGACGCUGAGGCUCGAAAGUAUGGGUAGCAAACAGGAUUAGAUACCCUGGUAGUCCAUACCGUAAACGAUGAAUGCUAAGUGUUGGAGGGUUUCCGCCCUUCAGUGCUGCAGCUAACGCAUUAAGCAUUCCGCCUGGGGAGUACGGCCGCAAGGCUGAAACUCAAAGGAAUUGACGGGGGCCCGCACAAGCGGUGGAGCAUGUGGUUUAAUUCGAAGCUACGCGAAGAACCUUACCAGGUCUUGACAUACUAUGCAAAUCUAAGAGAUUAGACGUUCCCUUCGGGGACAUGGAUACAGGUGGUGCAUGGUUGUCCUCACCUCCUGUCGUGAGAUGUUGGGUUAAGUCCCGCAACGAGCGCAACCCUUAUUAUCAGUUGCCAGCAUUAAGUUGGGCACUCUGGUGAGACUGCCGGUGACAAACCGGAGGAAGGUGGGGAUGACGUCAAAUCAUCAUGCCCCUUAUGACCUGGGCUACACACGUGCUACAAUGGAUGGUACAACGAGUUGCGAACUCGCGAGAGUAAGCUAAUCUCUUAAAGCCAUUCUCAGUUCGGAUUGUAGGCUGCAACUCGCCUACAUGAAGUCGGAAUCGCUAGUAAUCGCGGAUCAGCAUGCCACGGUGAACCC
rnacentral:rRNA from 1 species